rnacentral:lncRNA from 1 species
AAAUCCCUUUCUCAAGGUUUGAUGUCCACUGAGUCACUGCCUGCCCCUGUGUACCUGGUCCACCUGCUUUUAAAGCAACCAGGGCUUUAUUUCAGUUCCAUUUUCAAGGAGCUAGAGUGGAGGGGAGGGCAGGUUGUUAUUUUGUUUUAAAAAAGGGGGUCUGGUUUUUGUCCAGUCAGAGGGAUGUCCAGGUGUUUUCACAGCAGCCCCCAAUGCAGGCCUGGAGGGCUGGAGUGGAUUUCAGGACUUGUUUGCCAAACUACACUUUCAAGAGGUGUCAGAUAUCGAAAACCAAUUUGGAAUGCCAAGACAUAGAAGAGGUUUGGACAUCACCUUCCAUAGACAAAGCAGCUUGAUUCUGUGGCCCUCCUCUCUGGCCAUGACCCUUUGCUGUUUACGUGUUCUCCAUACAUGAGGAAACUAUUCUAGGAAGUGACUUUCUACCCUUGUUCCAACUGAGAAAUUAUAUAGAGUGAUGCUAACCUCUCAGAGGGCCAAAGUUCACCAGGCAUCAUCAAUUUAAUAUCUGGAUGGUCUCCAGAUCCCCAGAAUGGAGUGGCUCUAGGUAUCCUCUUAAUUCAUUCUACAGACCAGGAGAUGGCAUCAGCAACAACAUCUGUGAAAACAAAAAUUUUGCAUUUAUUAUUUAUUUUGCCACAGGGCUUAAGCCAAGAAUAAAAACUCUCAACCUCGUAAUAGACCUGUAAGAGUUUUCCUCUUUUCAGCUUCAUCCUGCCUAGGAGGAAGAGCAGGUGGAAUGGGUCAGAAAGAUCCUUUUUGAGGUUCCACCUCUGACACAAGGACUUAAAGGUCCUACCACAAUGGAAAUGUAUAAAGACUUGGUUUCAGUGAUGAACCUAAUCUGAAGAUCAACCAUUGAUUGAUUGACUACAGGUUGAAUAAUAUUUUGGCUAUAGGAAUUCUCAAAGUCAUUAAUCAAUCAACAAGCAUAUAUUAAGUCUCUAUUAUGUUCCAGAUACCAUGCUAGGUUGUAGGGAUACAGAGACUAAGACCAUGUAAGAAGUUAUAGAAACAUGCUGGAGGGAGUAUCAACAAAGAUGAAGUUAAAGACCCAUGACAGAGAAGAUUCUCAGUUGUUACAGCCUACAAGCAAUCAUGUCUAAUUCUGAAAUUCAUGAGAGAGGCUUCUUAGUGGAGGACACCUUCAGAAAUGUAAUUUUAUUUUACAGAAAUGAUUUUUUUAAAUAGACAUCAAACAAGAAGCCUGGGGAGAAUCAAACAUUCUUAUCACCUGUGUGACUACAAAGAAGCAACUGCCAUUGAAUGACUUCCUAAAGCUUCCCUAUUGACUCCUCAUGCUUUCAUAGAAGAUAGCCUUAGAAUCUGGGUGUAGAUUAUUCUAUUCUAUAAUAAAUACUGCAAUAUAAUAAAUGGAAUAAAUGUU